CGCGGCCUAUCAGCUUGUUGGUGAGGUAACGGCUCACCAAGGCGACGACGGGUAGCUGGUCUGAGAGGACGAUCAGCCACACUGGGACUGAGACACGGCCCAGACUCCUACGGGAGGCAGCAGUGGGGAAUCUUGCGCAAUGGGGGAAACCCUGACGCAGCGACGCCGCGUGCGGGAUGAAGGCCCUAGGGUUGUAAACCGCUUUCAGCAGGGACGAAAUUGACGGUACCUGCAGAAGAAGGCCCGGCUAACUACGUGCCAGCAGCCGCGGUAAUACGUAGGGGCCAAGCGUUGUCCGGAAUUAUUGGGCGUAAAGAGCUCGUAGGCGGUUUGGUAAGUCGGAUGUGAAAUCUCCACGCUCAACGUGGAGCGGCCAUUCGAUACUGCCAUGACUUGAGUCCGGUAGGGGAGUGUGGAAUUCCCGGUGUAGCGGUGAAAUGCGCAGAGAUCGGGAGGAACACCCGUAGCGAAGGCGGCACUCUGGGCCGGUACUGACGCUGAGGAGCGAAAGCGUGGGGAGCGAACAGGAUUAGAUACCCUGGUAGUCCACGCCGUAAACGUUGGGCACUAGGUGUGGGACUCUAUCGACGGGUUCCGUGCCGUAGCUAACGCAUUAAGUGCCCCGCCUGGGGAGUACGG
rnacentral:rRNA from 1 species